rnacentral:rRNA from 1 species
UACGUAGGGUGCGAGCGUUGUCCGGAAUUAUUGGGCGUAAAGCGCUUGUAGGCGGUCUGUCGCGUCUGCUGUGAAAAUCCGGGGCUCAACCCCGGACUUGCAGUGGGUACGGGCAGACUAGAGUGUGGUAGGGGAGACUGGAAUUCCUGGUGUAGCGGUGAAAUGCGCAGAUAUCAGGAGGAACACCGAUGGCGAAGGCAGGUCUCUGGGCCACUACUGACGCUGAGGAGCGAAAGCGUGGGGAGCGAACAGG